AGGAUAGUAGUUUAAUUAAAACAUUUAAGUUGCAUUUAAAAAAUACUGGAAUACCAAUUUAUCUUA
rnacentral:tRNA from 1 species